AAGGAAGGCUUAACACAUUUUUUUUCUCUUUAUAUUUCACUAGAGAGAUGAUGAUAAAUGUUGGAGAGAAGAAUGUUGACAGUGAGAGACGUGUGUGUGUGUGUGUGUGUGUGUGUGUGUGUGUGUGUGUGUGUGUGUGUGUGUCUGCUACUGUCGCUACAUCGCUGUGAGACUCGCUAUGCUGGAAGGUCUUCAUAAACUGUUACUUCGAUGUUGCUCUGUUUCCUCGUCCUCGUUGCUCCUCCUGAUGGCAAACUGAGGCUCGUUGGGUCUGGUAAUGUUGUUCCUGGUGGUGGAUUUAAAGCAUUAGAGGCUUGGUUGUUGUUGUUAUAGCUGUUUUAUUAUGAUCAGGUUUAUUGUAUGCAGCUUUUUAAUUUUUUUUAUUUGUGCAGUAAAGAAGACAGCUCACGAAAAGAAAAGAAAUUAUUGCGUGUUCUUUAGCUUCCGUAUCUUUGUAUUUAAUUUGAAGUGUUACAAAUGAAUGAUUAUUUUUGUUAAGGACUGUACGUACUUCACGGGUCUCUUAUUACAUGUCCUCCAAGUGUCACCAUCCCGCAUGUGAUAGAAAUACCGACAGUUCCCACGCCCAAAAGCACCACGUUAAACAUCCUGUGGCGUGAUACUGACCUGGUGUUUCGACAUAUACAGUCAUACAUUCAUAUAUACAUGAUAAUACAUAUAUUACACGACUGUGACUUAAAUUGCCGUUCCUCAAAGUCUCGAAGCUGGACCCGUCAAGCCGUCCAGUCCAUCACAUCCCCCUCCCCUCCCCUCUUCUCCUUUCCCACUGACAUAUCGAGCGUCAUCUCCUCCUGGCAGACGUUAAGAGUGUCAGACGCAUCAUUCGUCACAGUUUGCACAAGUUUGACACAAGAAGCUGCGCCGGUGAAUGCGUCAGGACCAUCAGCUCCCUCCACAACCCUCCUACCCAACCCUAACCUUCCCCCAACCCCCCAACCAUCCCCGUCCCCCAACCCCCCAACUCUCCCCUUCCCCCUCCACCCCCCGCGGCGCCGCUGAUGUAUGGAGCGUCAGCGCCUCUCGCGUCUGACAUUAAAAGUUUCCGCGGACGCAUCAUCCGUCAUGGUUUCCGAAAGUUUAGGGCGCAAGAGGCGGGAAUUUGUCUCUUCGGAGUGUUUCCUCGUGACGUGAAGAGAGCCGCGAGAGCUAUCAGAGUCCGUCCUGUGGUCACUGUUAUUAUUUCAGCGACCCUGUUUCAUUUUAUUUUUGUUUCAUUGUUUUAUUGUUAUUUCCCUCACGACCCAUUCCCAAGCACCAUGACUAAAAGAUGUGUGCCUUCCGCUGUCUGGUAUCUCAUAUAACUAUCCUUAGGUAAUACUCACAGCCUCUACGAAAGUCUCAUAAAACUAUCCUUAGGUAAUACUCACAGCCUCUACGAAAGCCUUAUAAAACUAUCCUUAGGUAAUACUCACAGCCUCUACGAAAGCCUUAUAAAACUAUCCUUAGGUAAUACUCACAGCCUCUACGAAAGCCUUAUAAAACUAUCCUUAGGUAAUACUCACAGCCUCUACGAAAGUCUCAUAUAACUAUCCUUAGGUAAUACUCACAGCCUCUACGAAAGCCUUAUAAAACUAUCCUUAGGUAAUACUCACAGCCUCUACGAAAGCCUUAUAAAACUAUCCUUAGGUAAUACUCACAGCCUCUACGAAAGUCUCAUAAAACUAUCCUUAGGUAAUACUCACAGCCUCUACGAAAGCCUUAUAAAACUAUCCUUAGGUAAUACUCACAGCCUCUACGAAAGCCUUAUAAAACUAUCCUUAGGUAAUACUCACAGCCUCUACGAAAGUCUCAUAUAACUAUCCUUAGAUAAUACUCACAGCCUCUUCGAAAGCCUUAUCAAAUGUGGGUGUGUAGGCUCCGAAACACUUGAGAAUAUGGGCUUUCUUUUAAGAGCCCCGCCCGAGAUGAAGGCAAUGCAGGCAACCACACGACUUGGCGCCACAUUCUUAACCAUUUCGGCGCCUAAGCACACACACUUGACAAGGCUUUCGUAGGAGUUGUGGGUAUUUCCAUAGGUAGUUUGUUGUUUUGACCCUGAACGUGAGUAUAACGCUCAUUGGAACCCGAUUAAUCUUUUUUUUGACCUUUGGAAGAAAUAGAUAUAAGGUCUGAGAAUAUUGACCCAAGAAGCGCGCGCCUCAGACACAAACAAGCAGAAGUAGCAACAGGCAAUAGCAGAAGCAGAAGGCCGAGUGUGUGUGGUGCGUCUUCCCCUUAUAAGAGUCAUGUAUCAGCGGUGGAUUUACGACCGUCGCUGAUCUUUUUAGGUGAACUCCAUGUGCAGAAUCCGUUUUUUUUUUUUUUU